UCUUUUUUAUUUGGAGGGAGAGAAUGAGAAAAAAAAAGAGAUGGAAGAGAAAUAGAGAGAAGGUUCUAUAGCUUUCUUCACUCAUCAGAACCCACCAUCAACGUUCGUCAUCAUCAUCGGGGCUUGUGGAUGGAGCGAACACAAGACUUGAUUUGGUUUGAAACCUGCCGAAUCUGGUGGUGGCGGUGACAAAGGAGUUUUAGGGCUUUCUUGAUGACCUAAGGGCGGCGAUUAGCGGUGGUUUUUAAGCUCGAGUAACAGCGGCGACCAAAAAUGCUUAGAUUGGCCGCUGCAUUUGAUUAGGGUUCAGGCGGCAGCGUAGGAAAGUAUAUGCCGUAUACUAAGGCAAUGGAGACAAAAUCGUUUUCUGGCCACGAUCAUGACCGAUAGGCGCAACAUGGGUCAUUACCAACCGGAUCUGCGACGGUGUCGGGUGUAUGUGCUUAUUUACGGCUAGCUCAGGCAGAGUUGAUAGUUGAAAGUUGUUACGAAAUUGUGUUAUCAGCUGCAACAUUGCUGAAUGCUUUUCAGUGGUGAGUAGUGGCGGUUUAGGGUUCUUACAGGAGUAAAUCUGUAGCUUUAGAUUAGGAAGACUGAGGCUUGGUUGUGGUUACGGAGCUCUAGCGAUUCAAGAUGAGGAGCUGCUGCAAUGGCUUUGUCAGCUGCAGCAAACAUCAGAUAGAAAUUGCAUGUUCACAGUUUACUCAAUCAUGGUAAUUUCUGACCAGUUUAUUUGUGCUUUUAGGCAAACAGUGCUGUUCCUAUCCUUUGUGUUGCUAGAAAUGUUGCUUGCAAUGUCAGAGGUGGUUUUUUCAAGUAAGAAAGUGAUUUUUGGUUAAUAUUCACUAUUCGCUGCAACAAUAUGCAUGAUUGCCACCCAAGUUGCAUUGUUCCAGUUAUGGGAUACGGGAUCAUCGCAAGUUGCUCUGUCAUUUGGUAAAGUCAUCAGGGCUGCACCACUAGCAUCUAUUACUAUCCACAGUCUGCGAGUGUUGUAUACCGUAGGUGAGGACUAGCAGGGUAGAUAUCAUGAGAAGCUUUGGAGCUAACUUCUAAGACAAUGAAAUUAUCACCCAAAGGAACAUUUAGACUUCUCGUGUAAACAUUUAGAAUUUGGAAUAUGUUACUCAUUACACAACGUUUAUGCUAACAUUUGGAAUAUUUUUCGGAUGGAAAUAAUGUGAAUUUUGUGAUUA